AUGAGGUUUCUUGUUCUUUGUGACCCUGAUUUCCCACUACCUGGCUUCUUCUGGGAAGAGGGUUCCAAGAAAACUUUCAGAAGUAGAGAGCAAACAAACAGGGAAGAUUUUAACCAGUUAAAAGAGACGGCAGAUUCUGCCUUUCUGGGGAAGGCUGCUGUCUACGGCUCACUCAGCCACUCAUUCAGUAGCUUUACCUCUCUGAUCGAUUUCCAGCCAGCGGUUCCUGUUUUCCAACCAGGAUAUGCAAACAAGAGCACUUACUGGAAGGGAGGUCUCGGGGCCUCUGGAUUUCAUCAGCUGCCCACUCUCCCAGGAGAGCAGGUGGGACCAGUCGAGCCAGAGGCCAAGGCCAGGAGGCAGGCUGAACAUUUCAAGAUUCCAAGACAGGGCCGCCCCGGUGAAGUGAAGGGGCUCAGACUGGACUGCCUUUGCUUCAGAGCCUGGACCUGAAUGCAACAAGCUCCUUCCUGACUGCCUCUGCUUCGGAGCCUGGACCUGAGCGCAACAAGCUCCUUCCUGUGUUCCAGGCACUCAGGCACUGUUAGGUUGCUUUCAUGCACAUGCCUGCCUGUCUUUUCUAGUAAAAACAGACAGCAACAGGGCUUCCCAGGGGGCCCAGUGGUAAAGAGUUCACCUGCCAAUGCAGGAGAUGCAAGUUGGGAUCCCUGAUCUGAAAAGAUCCCACGUGCUGCGGAGCUCAUAAGCCCGGGUGUCACAGCUGCUGAGCCUGUGCUCCAGAGCCCGGAGCUGCAACUGCCGAGUCCACGUGCCACAAUGGGAAGCCCGUACACCACCACUAGAGAACAUAGCCCCUGAGAUCAUUCCGAAAGUAGAGGAAAGCCCGCACAGCAAUGAAGACUCAGGACAGCCAAAAAUAAACAAAUAAUUUAAAACAGAAACAGACAACAACAAUGAAAAAAAAGCUCUUGAAAAGAUCCAUGGUGUAUUCCUGGUCCCCAAGCAGAGCCAAGCACUGACCCCCACCCUGUGCUGUUCAAGUUUAGCAGUGGGUUCCCCACCUCUGGCUCCUAUGCAGGCACAGACUGUGACAAGGGCUUUUAGGAAACAUGUUGUGGGCCCUAAGGAUUGUAAUAAACUAUAUAAUUCUGGAACUCUAGGUUGGAAAACACAACUCAUUUUCAAACACAAAAUGAUUCUUUUUAGUACAAAACAACAGGGUCCCCCACUUUUUUUUCUGGCUGCGCCUUGUGACCUGUGAGAUCCUAGUUCUCCGACCAGGGAUUGAACCCAGGCCCUCCGCAGUGAAAGCUCGGAGCUAACCACUGGACCACCAGGAAGGUGCCAACAGGGUCCCUUUUUAAAAAAACUGGAGGAAAAAAAAAAAAAAACUGGAGAUCCCAACCUCUUCCUCCCCAGAUCCUGCAGCCUUGCUCAGCUGUUCUGUGCAGAGCAACUCCCACGAGCCCCCAGGCCCAGGUAUGGCAUCAUCCAGGCUCCACCCUGGAAUCUCACUGGAGGUCACAGGUCUGUGUACCGAGGCAAUGUUGGCAGUUCUCUGCUGGGAAUGUUGACCUAGGUCACACAGACAGAACCGGUUGUCGGCAGCCUGUGGCCAGGUCCAGCCCACCCCAGGGAAAUGUGGGCCUUUUGUCCUCUUGUUGGGGGAGGGCAAAGCUGGGGAAAAGUCACCCGGUGUCCAUCCCAGUGACGCCUCUCCUACAUGUCAUCCAUCACUAUGGUCCACCUUCAUGGGCACUUUUCUGCAUGUAAUCAGUGAUCAAAUUUUAUAUUCAGACAUAUUUUAAAGACUUGGACCCACCAUUGCUCUACUUGGCCUGCUGGGACCUGUCAAAACUCCUGGCUACCAGAUAUGAAGAGAUAGAAGGAAGGAUGAGAAUUGUGGGAAGCUAGAAAUAGUCUGGGAAUGACACAUGGUUUGAAGGUGGAUGACCCUUGGUGAGAGGAAUACCUAACAUGAAUUGUGAUGCUUUCUCUGCGUCGCGAGCUGUGUUUAACAUAUUAUCUUGGUUGACGCUUAAUUCUCAUUUCCCUAACAGGGAAAUUGAAGCUCAGAGAGGUCAAGUAACUUGUCCAACGUUAUCUAACUAGUAUGUGUUAGAGCUGAAAACCUGCCCGAUGUCCAUUUGUCUAUGUUGCUAGCCCAGGCCUCCAGCCCUCAGGUUGCAAGGACUGUCCUUACAGGGUCUGGAAAUGGAAGAUGUAUGGUCUCUGUUCUAAUAUUCUCGAAGGCAAUCGUAAUUCUCGUCCUCCGCUUCCAAAGCUUUUCUCUUUUUGUAUUUCCUUCAUUCACCAAACCAGAGUUUGGUCUAUAUUCUACCCAGCUGAUUCUUGGAGCUGCAUAAAUCCUGGAUGUUUUCAUGAAAAAAAGUUUAUGGGAGAACAGAAAAUGUACAGCUCGCUGUCUUUCCCCACAGGAAUAUUAGAUGUACAAAGUCAGCUAUAAAUAAAAGACAGGAGGAUUUUUUUUUUUUUUAAUAUUGAAAGUCCCUGGGUCAUUCUCAAGAAAUCUUGUCUCCUAUGAGCUGGGUCAGGAUAAAACUCACAGCAUCACCUAAAGGCAAGGCCAUCUCACCAAAGAGGGAGGGAUUCAGUUGCUAUUAUUUUAGAGUCAGAGCCUCACAGUAUGUAUGUGUCUGGGAAGGCUGAGUUUAGUUGAAUCCAGCACUGCAGAUAAAUAUCACUAACUGAAAUUACUCAUGAAACAUUUUACAAAAACAGAUAUACUUAUGAAAGCUGAGCAAUCAAAACCAAGCCAGGAUCCUAGAACAGAAAACAGAAAGUAAGGGAGAAACUGUUGAAAUCCAAAUAAGGUCUAGAGUUUAGUUAAUAGCACCGUGUCAGUAUUGGUUUCUGAAUUUUGACAAAUGUAACAAUGGUAGUGUAGGCUGAACACAUUGUAUGUGUGCGCUCAGUAGUGUCCAGCUCUUUGUAACCCCAUGGACUGUAGCCUGCCAGACUCCUUUGUCCAUAGAAUUUUUCAGGCAAGAAUACAGGAGUGGGUUGCCAUUUCCUACUCCAGGGGCUCUUCCCAACCCAGGGAUUGAACCCGCAUCUCUUGUGUCUCCUGUUUUGGAGGAGGAUUCUUUUUCACUCUGCCACCUAAAAAGGCUGAUAACAUUACGGGAAACUAGAACUGUUUGUGUAGGG
ensembl:lincRNA